rfam:Haemophilus pittmaniae HK 85 ctg1129913985429, whole genome shotgun sequence.
UUUAUAGCAUAACUCCGAGCUUGUUUAGCCUAAGUUUCCUGUAUUGGAAAUAUGGCGGCAACGCCAAUAACGAAGUUCGUUAUUCAGGGAUACGUCGGAAACGGUUUAUCCUCUCCAUUUUUAGAAAGGUGUGACAUGCAAUCUAUC